rnacentral:rRNA from 1 species
AUUGAACGCUGGCGGCAUGCUUUACACAUGCAAGUCGAACGGCAGCACGGGUGCUUGCACCUGGUGACGAGUGGCGGACGGGUGAGUAAUACAUCGAAACGUGUCCUGAAGUAGGGGAUAACGCAUCGAAAGAUGUGCUAAUACCGCAUAUACUCUGAAAAGGAAAGUAGAAGAUCGAAAGACCUUAUGCUUUUGGAGCAGCCGAUGUCUGAUUAGCUAGUUAGUAAGGUAAUGGCUUACCAAAGGCAACGAUCAGUAGUUGGUCUGAGAGGACGGCCAGCCACACUGGGACUGAGACACGGCCCAGACUCCUACGGGAGCAGCAGUGGGGAAUAUUGCACAAUGGGGGAAACCUGAUGCAGCGAUGCCGCGUGGAGGAAGAAGGUUUUCGGAUUGUAAACUCCUGUCUUCAGGACGAUAAUGACGUACCUGAGGAGGAAGCACCGGCUAACUACGUGCCAGCAGCCGCGGUAAGCUCGU